rnacentral:rRNA from 1 species
UACAGAGGGGGUAAGCGUUGUUCGGAAUUACUGGGCGUAAAGGGCGCGUAGGCGGCCUUCUAAGUCGAACGUGAAAUCCCCGGGCUCAACCCGGGAACUGCGUCCGAUACUGGAAGGCUUGAAUCCGGGAGAGGGAUGUGGAAUUCCAGGUGUAGCGGUGAAAUGCGUAGAUAUCUGGAGGAACACCGGUGGCGAAGGCGACAUCCUGGGCCGGUAUUGACGCUGAGGCGCGAAAGCCAGGGGAGCAAACGGG